GUGGGGAAUAUUGGACAAUGGGCGGAAGCCUGAUCCAGCCAUGCCGCGUGUGUGAAGAAGGCCUUUUGGUUGUAAAGCACUUUAAGCGAGGAGGAGGCUCCUUUAGUUAAUACCUAAAGAGAGUGGACGUUACUCGCAGAAUAAGCACCGGCUAACUCUGUGCCAGCAGCCGCGGUAAUACAGAGGGUGCGAGCGUUAAUCGGAUUUACUGGGCGUAAAGCGUGCGUAGGCGGCUUUUUAAGUCGGAUGUGAAAUCCCUGAGCUUAACUUAGGAAUUGCAUUCGAUACUGGAAAGCUAGAGUAUGGGAGAGGAUGGUAGAAUUCCAGGUGUAGCGGUGAAAUGCGUAGAGAUCUGGAGGAAUACCGAUGGCGAAGGCAGCCAUCUGGCCUAAUACUGACGCUGAGGUACGAAAGCAUGGGGAGCAAACAGGAUUAGAUACCCUGGUAGUCC
rnacentral:rRNA from 1 species